CGGUGUUUAACUGGCGUGAUGUGGGACGUCCUACCGGUGGGCUUAGCCUCGCGAGGGGCGGCCCAACUAAUAUCCCGUCGCGGUGCUCUUUACUGAGUGUCGAGUCGGGCCGGUACGUUUACUUUGAACAAAUUAGAGUGCUUAAAGCAGGCUAUCCUCGCCUGAAUACUGCGUGCAUGGAAUAAUGGAAUAGGACCUCGGUUCUAUUUUGUUGGUUUUCGGAACCCCGAGGUAAUGAUUAAUAGGGACAGAUGGGGGCAUUCGUAUUGCGACGUUAGAGGUGAAAUUCUUGGAUCGUCGCAAGACGGACAGAAGCGAAAGCAUUUGCCAAAAAUGUUUUCAUUAAUCAAGAACGAAAGUUAGAGGUUCGAAGGCGAUCAGAUACCGCCCUAGUUCUAACCAUAAACGAUGCCAGCUAGCGAUCCGCCGAAGUUCCUCCGAUGACUCGGCGGGCAGCUUCCGGGAAACCAAAGCUUUUGGGUUCCGGGGGAAGUAUGGUUGCAAAGCUGAAACUUAAAGGAAUUGACGGAGGGGCACCACCAGGAGUGGAGCCUGCGGCUUAAUUUGACUCAACACGGGAAACCUCACCAGGCCCAGACACCGGAAGGAUUGACAGAUUGAUAGCUCUUUCUUGAUUCGGUGGGUGGUGGUGCAUGGCCGUUUUUAGUUGGUGGAGCGAUUUGUCUGGUUAAUUCUGAUAACGAACGAGACUCUAGCCUGCUAAAUAGGCGUACCUUAUGGUAUCGCGAAGGCCCCCGGCUUCGGUCGGUGGGUUUUUACUACCAACGUACAAACAAAUCUUCUAGAGGGACAGGCGG
rnacentral:rRNA from 1 species